AGUGAACGCUGGCGGUAGGCCUAACACAUGCAAGUCGAACGGCAGCACAGUAAGAGCUUGCUCUUACGGGUGGCGAGUGGCGGACGGGUGAGGAAUACAUCGGAAUCUACUUUUUCGUGGGGGAUAACGUAGGGAAACUUACGCUAAUACCGCAUACGACCUACGGGUGAAAGCAGGGGAUCUUCGGACCUUGCGCGAUUGAAUGAGCCGAUGUCGGAUUAGCUAGUUGGCGGGGUAAAGGCCCACCAAGGCGACGAUCCGUAGCUGGUCUGAGAGGAUGAUCAGCCACACUAGAACUGGGACACGGUCCAGACUCCUACGGGAGGCAGCAGUGGGGAAUAUUGGACAAUGGGCGCAAGCCUGAUCCAGCCAGACCGAGUGGGUGAAGAAGGCCUUCGGGUUGUAAAGCCCUUUUGUUGGGAAAGAAAAGCAGCAGGUUAAUACCCCGCUGUUCUGACGGUACCCAAAGAAUAAGCACCGGCUAACUUCGUG
rnacentral:rRNA from 1 species